rnacentral:rRNA from 1 species
AUUGAACGCUGGCGGCAUGCCUUACACAUGCAAGUCGAACGGUAACAGGUCUUCGGAUGCUGACGAGUGGCGAACGGGUGAGUAAUGCAUCGGAACGUGCCCAGUAGUGGGGGAUAGCCCGGCGAAAGCCAGAUUAAUACCGCAUACGACCUGAGGGUGAAAGGGGGGGAUCGCAAGACCUCUCGCUAUUGGAGCGGCCAAUGUCAGAUUAGCUAGUUGGUGGGGUAAAGGCCUACCAAGGCAACGAUCUGUAGUUGGUCUGAGAGGACGACCAGCCACACUGGGACUGAGACACGGCCCAGACUCCUACGGGAGGCAGCAGUGGGGAAUUUUGGACAAUGGGCGCAAGCCUGAUCCAGCAAUGCCGCGUGCAGGAAGAAGGCCCUCGGGUUGUAAACUGCUUUUGUCAGGGAAGAAAUCUUCUGGGUUAAUACCUCGGGAGGAUGACGGUACCUGAAGAAUAAGCACCGGCUAACUACGUGCCAGCCGCCGCGGUAAGAC